rnacentral:rRNA from 1 species
AGCUUGGUGGUUAUAGCAUGAGUGAAACACACGCUCCCAUCCCCAAA